GCCUCUGUAGCUCAGCGGUAGAGCAUCCGCCUUGUAAGCGGAAGGUCAUGGGUUCGACACCCAUCGGAGGCU
rnacentral:tRNA from 1 species